rnacentral:lncRNA from 1 species
GAAAUGCAUCAUUUACAUUUUGUUUAUGGUGUUAAACAAUGUUUGAGAAAUGCAGGCUUUGUUUGUUUAAGCAUUGGAACACUUGCUGAAUGACUCAUUGAUCAUGGUGACAGAUCGAGCAAAGAACCAAAUUUUCACAAGUUGUUUAUGAAUUUCCUUGAGAAAGCUAAUUAAAAACAGCUCAUCGAAGAAACAGUUCGAGAAAGCUAUCAGAAUUCCAAGCUAUUCUUUUCUACCUUAUUCAUUGAUGGAUUUAAAUAUGGUAUAUAAACCUGGAGUAAUUUGUUAUUUGGGAAUGCAACAGGUUCUUUAAGGUCUGAGCUCAUACAUACCAGUUCAGAAGAGCGUUUGUUGCUCAAGAAUCUUGGAGGCUGGUUGGGAUUGAUUACAAUUGGAAAAAACAGAGUUCUGCUGUCACGCAAGCUUUGGAUCGCAAAUUCUUCCAAAACCCUCCUUAUCUCUUAGAAUUGGUCGAGCCUGCAUUGCAUAGUUUAUUUAGUAUUCAUAAGUGAUUUAUAUUUUACUAUUCAUAAAUGAGGCAAACUAACGCCCCUCCUUGGGGAAAGUCAUAUAGUCUAUGAAAAUGAUGCAAUGUGUGACAGAGUAUGAGUAAAAACGAAGUAUAUUGCUUAUUUAUUAGAAAGAGUUUAGUAGGUUGUUAUUUCCUGCAAUAUGCAUUAAUAAAUAUAAAUUCAAUCGAUGUUUAAGCAUAUGCAUUAGAUUGAAGUGUACCUACUACAAUCAAUAUGAUAAUGCUUUAUAAGAAGCCAAAACUUUUUAAUAAGUUUACUCUUUGGAUAUACAAUAAAGUUUAGUUUGUAAAGACACAUAAGUUGCAUAACGUAAAAGGAAACUUACUAUUGAAAUGUUAUGAACACCUAACGUGAUAGUGCAAAGAACUUCAUCUUAAUUGAUAUUUCCGAGCAAGACUGUGAAAAUAUAUUUGUUCUUCUUGCUAUGUUUUUCUCCGAUUUUCGAGACAUAGGUGGAUAUGUUUGUCUUUGUUUCAUUUGCGUAUGCUCCUUUAAAUAGCAAUGCUAUAACGGCUAAAAACGUCAGUAUUGAAAAUCAAAUAGUCAUGUUCCAACGGUAAUAUUUUGUAACGGUCAUAUUUUUCAAGUUGAGGGAAAGUGGUUGGAAAUUCAUCUAAAUUGUGUGUGUAAAUGUAAAGAUAGUGACAAUCAAACAAUUAAGUUACAACAAUAACAUUCUAUAAUGGUCAUAUUUUUUAAAAUUGAGGAAAAUGGUAGAUAUUCAAAUAAAUUGUGUGUAAAUUUAAAUAUAACGGAAUUCAAAAAAUCAAGUUACAACGGUAACAUUUUAUAACGGUCAUAUUUUUUAAAUUAAAAAAAAUGAGCGGAUAUUCAUAAAAUUGUGUGUUUAAAUAUAAAGAUAUUAAGUUACAUCGAUAAUAUUUAUAACUAUCAUAUUUUUCAAUUUGAGGAAGAGGGUGGAAAUUCAUCUAAAUUGUCUAUGGAAAUGUAAAAAUAUUGAAAAUCAAACAAUAUAUUUACAACUGUGACAUUUUACAACGGUAAAUGAAAUUCAAAUUGAGGAAAAAACCGUGUCGAUAUUCAUAUAAAUUGUAUGUGUAUAUGUAGAGAUAUUAAAAACCAUGUAGAAAUGUUACAAUGGUAACAUUUAUAACGGUCAUAAUUUUCAAGUUGACUAAAAGUGUGUGGAUAUUCAUCUUAAUUGUGAAUAUAAUCUGGGUGCUAUAUUAGUAGAGACAUAUGUUUAACACUAAUAUUUAUACUAAUAGUCAAUGUUUUAAUAAAUGAAUUAAUAUAGAAAAAAUAAUUUAAUAAAGACUUGAUAGCACUCUUGCGUCAAUGAUGCUUAGUUGAAGUCAACGAUGCUCGGUUGAAUUUUAAGUAUAUUUAAGAUAACGGAAUGAUGUUUGAGAAAACCGUCUUUUUUCCUAUGAAUAUUGAACUUGAAGGAGGAUUUGGAAACAAGUGAACGGAAUUAAUUUAAAGCCCAUGUUUAAAGAGUCCUACACAUAUAUAUAGCUACCUUCAAUGAAACAUUUGAUGGUCGUUUCUUGCACCUGCUUUGCGAGGAAGAGAAGAUCAACAUUACCUUCAAUGAACUUUGGAGUGCAUAUCAAGAAGAUGACAAUGAGAUUAUUAGAAAUCUAUAGAAAAUGUUGAUGUGUAUUCAAUCCCACCAUCCAUUGGAAAUCAAUGAAACAUAUUUUAGUAACAAAAUCUGAAUAUUGUACAACUGGAAGUGUGUUUAACCAUUUGUGGUGUUGAGAUUGGUUACCACAUGAUGUUUGAGAUAACUGACCAUGUGAGAAUGUUGUUAAGGUGUCUAAAAUAAGAAACCAAAGAGGAAGGUGUAGGAGGGUGUGCGAUAUAAGAAAUUGAAGAAGUAUGUUCAAGAAACUAUGUUUUCGGGUCCAUUGUCGAGCCUUAUUGGAUUGCAUAUUGUUUUUUAAAGCAAAUAUCUGCCAGUUUUAUACAAUUCUAAGGACAAUAACGGAAGAUAUCAAGAGGAAAUGUAAUUGCAAAGUGAGUGUGGAUUAGUGUAUGAGAGAAAAGAAAUAUGCUUCAAAUGAGUACCAAGAUGGGUUAAAGAUCACUAUUGUGGGAUUUGGUAAUAUGCAUACGAGGUAAAGAGAUCAAACCCAGGGAGUACAUAGAAUAUGGGUGUGAACAUGAUGCCCCAUCGAAGUAAUUACUUCAGUGACUUUUAUGUUUGGAGGUGCGAAAUAUGGUGGAUCAAUACAUGUAGGAAAGUUAUUUGUUUGGAUAGGUGCAUCUUAAAGGGUAUAUACAAAGGCAACAAAUGAGUAUGAAGGACUACAAGUUAUGAGUUCUUAACGUUUAUUAAUGCUUAAUGUUUGCUAAAAUAGAUUAGUCUCGAGGACCAUUGUUUAAGUAUAAGAUAAAAUUGGACUACUCAGGCUAUUACUUUCUAACUAUUUUGUGCUCCUGGUUUCUCUGGAUGACUGGACACCAAGACAAAAGAUGUUAUCCAAUUAAAUAGACGUAUAUGUUUGAGGGCAUGAAUUGUCACCUAAAAUCCAAAAUUUAACUUGCAAAAACGCAUCACAAAGUCAGUCUAUAAUUUCAACCAUAAUAUGAAAACGUUUCACUUAGAUUAAGAUCAUAUUCCUUAAUUUUAUGUGUAAAAACCAUAGAACAAUAGCCGCUAAAUAGAAAGAUAAUGCAAUACCUACAACAUUUGAAAGUUGAAACUUGUUUUGGUUUCCCUAAUUAACCUCUUCAUCACAACCUCCAGACAAAAUAAAUAUAAAAGUAUAUUAACACAUAACAAUAAUCACAAGUCUUUCUUUGUGCUUCUAAGGUGUAUGUAUAACAGGGGCUUGAGAAAUGUACCACGAAAUAAUACCAUUUAUUUUUUCCAACAACUUCCUAAUAACUAAAGUUAAAUACAUGAAGUUCCUUCCUUGUUUGCUUUUAGGUAUAAAAUUGUUGAUGGGUUAUGAAUCAUCUGAUAUUGUCACCAAUCUUGAGCUGCUUGACUUCCUAUUGCUCUGUAACUUUGACUUUUUUGGAGUUUCUUCCUUUGCCACAGAAUUCACGAGCAUUACUAAUUCCAUUGUUGAGUUGGUUCACUUUUUUUGGCAAGAUUCGAGAUGGUGGAGAUUCUAGCAGCAAUUGAAGGUUCUUUUUGUCCUUACAGGUUGUAUUAACUAUUGACCCUGUUUCCAUGUAUAACCAUUUUCAUUUAAUGUACACAUAAUUGGAUCAAGAACAAUACACCAACCAUGAUACCAAGGAAAAUGCAUCAUUUACAUUACCAUUCAUGACAAUAUGAUCUUAUUGAACCUGUUUCUCUGUAUCGAUUAAUACGAUUAAUAAGAUCUUCUAGAGUAUUGACUAAUGUGAUCUUAUUGAACCAAUGUCCAUGGUUUGAUAUUAUUGGCUUCAAAAAAGUUCAAUGAAAAAUGAAUUUUAUUUUCAAAUAUAGUAUCUGAUACCCCAAAGUGUAGUUAGCUCUUCGGCAAUGAUGGCUUCAUCUCCUGAAUUUUGACCUCCAUCUCGAGCAGUUACCUUUCCUGUACUUGUACUUGUGGUGUUAUGGUUCCUUGUCUUUUCGUGUUUUGGGAAGUUACCUUUUGUUUAUGGUGUUAAACAAUGUUUGAGAAAUGCAGGCUUUGUCUCUACAAGCAUUGGAAUACUUGUUGAAUGACUCAUUGAUCAUGUUGACAGAGCAAGCGAAGAACCGAAUUUUCACAAGUUGUUUAUGAAUUUCCUUGAGAAAGCUAAUUCAAAAUAGCUCAUCGAAUAAAUAGUUUGAGAAAGCAAUCAGAAUUUCAAGGUAUUCUUUUCUACCUUAUUCAUUGAUGGAUUUAAAUAUGGUGUAUAAACCUGGAGUAAUUUGUUAUUUGGGAAUGCAACAGGUUCUUUUAAGGUCUGAGCUCAU